rnacentral:sRNA from 1 species
UGCCUAAACCCCGUAAGGGGCAUGGCACAAAGACCUCGACAGCAACAAGCUCCUACCAGAGCGCUGUCGAGGCUGUUAUCCGAAAGGGUAGCAGGUGGCGCAAGCCAUC